AAAGAAUUACGAAAAAUCCUCGGAAUUUCUAUGAAAAGGAGAGUCAAGCGCGCUUGCGCGUUUUCCUUUUGUAUUUUAGAAACUUAAUUGAUUGCUUUGAAAGUUUCAUCUCUCUCUAGCUCUCUUUUGCUUCAAUGUUACUACAGUAUUUGUCUUCUUUUUCUUCCUCUAUAUAUAUAUAUAUAUAUGCAAUGUCUAACCCAGAAAUAUUCCUUCUAUCAAUCUGCAAUCUCUCCUUUCCCACCCCCCAAAAAAAAAAAAAAAAAAUCUGUUAUGUGCUGUCUCUCUUAUGCCUACACUACUACAUAUAAAUACAACCAGCCAAUGAUGCAGCAAAUUAAGAGUCUUCAGAAAGCAUAAAUUUUUAAGGUUCAUGUGGUGUUAACAAAUUUUAUGAAAUGUCUAUUUAUAUGCGGACGAUCAACAUUCCAGGUAAAAUAAAUUUUAUUUGAUUACCAAUGGCUUUUUGUUUUUUUGGAUAAAAUUGGAUGACGUAGUAUGUAUAUAAUUUUAUUAUUUGUUUGGUAUAUUAGAUUGGACUAAAUUUUAAAAUAGAAUUAUUUUUUAUUGUAUUUUUUAUAUUUAUCUUUGUAAAUUAAGCAAAAUCAAUAAAAUUGAAAAAGUCGUUAAAAUUAAUUAGUACUUAACUCUUUUUUCUUUUUCUUUUUUACAAUUGGAAAUUGAAAAAAUUUCAUUACAAUAAAAAAUCCCUUCUGAAACAACAUUGCUAUAUGUACCAACAUGUUUAUACAGAGAAACAUAUUUGCUUGGUUUUUCCAUAAAUGAUUGAGAUUUGAGAUUUGUGAGAUUUGGUUGCUUGACAAGAUUAGCAAGGUUUGUGGAGUUCUGCUUCUGGCUUCCUAUGGAUAUUUGUAGUAAGUUUUAUAUGUACCUAUUAUCUCUGUUCUAGAUAUUUUAAGACACACUUAAAUCUAUUAAUGGAGAUUCAUUUCAAACCAGAAAAAAUAAAAAAUAAAUAAGAAAAUAAAGAAUUAAUUAAUGUUGAACCAAAAAGAAAACAUAAAUAAAUAGAUAAAUGAAACAACAAAAAUUGAAAUAGAUAAAGACAUAAGAGAAAAGACUUACUUGGGAUUGAUUCAUAGCGGUAGCAAUGUGUAGCACAUUGUCCCCAUUGGCAUCCUUCAAGUUUAUAAUUUUCCUCUCAUCCAUUUCAGAGCCUUUAUGGCAAGCUCUUCGCAGUCUGCCUAGCAAGAAAUCAAAAGCGUCAUCAUUUUCAGUCUUAACAGCGAUAUGAAAGGCAGUUUCCUUUCGAUUAUUCGUAUCUUGGAUACUUUGUGGACAAAGUGAUACGAAUAUCGGUAAGAGAUGGAUCUUUUGUUGUUGAUGAUCCACAUCGAUUUCUUUUGCAGCCAGAUAAUGCAAAGGAGUUUCACCAUGCUUUCCUCGAAUGCGAAGAAGAUGAUCAGGAGCUUCGCAUCCUAGAAAUCGAUGCACCAUAUUGAUUUGCUUGUUGUAUAAGGCAAGGUGCAUGGGACUAUAUAAAUUUUGAUUUAGCUUCCAAGCAAAUGAUGGUUUCAAAUUCAUUA